UGCCACUAAAACCCAAUAGUGGUAUCAGAGCCUACCUUGAUUUAUACAAUCAAAGUUUGGAAUGUUGUCUUGAUUGUGAUCAAGCUAGAAUUUUGGGUUUGGUUCAAGUCGGGUCAAUGGUUGAACCCAAUUGAACAUCCAAAUCCUGAUAUAUCUUAGAGAUAUGUUUGGAUGCUUGAAGUUAUAAUUUUGAUCAUAUUAAUAUAUCUUAGAGAUAUGUUUAGUUGUAUGAUAUC
rnacentral:lncRNA from 1 species